rnacentral:sRNA from 1 species
GCCAGGUGAGGUGUUGUACACCUGUAAUCCCAGCAACUCCGAAGGCUGAGGCAGGAGGAUUGCAAAUUCAAAGCCAGCCUCAGCAACAGCCAGGCACUAAGCAACUCAGUGAGACCCUGUCUCUA